rnacentral:misc_RNA from 1 species
UCCGGCUUAUCACCGGCAGUUUCUCUAGAGUGCCCAACUAAAUGGUAGCAACUAGAGACGAGGGUUGCGCUCGUUGCGGGACUUAACCCAACAUCUCACGACACGAGCUGACGACAGCCAUGCAGCACCUGUGUCCAGGCCCCGUAAGGGGAGGAAUCCAUCUCUGGAAACCGUCCUGGCAUGUCAAACGCUGGUAGUUAGUUGUAUUUUUCUAGCUAGACUGCCCUGGUAACAGGGAGGAAGGUGGGGAUGACGUAGCUAAGCCUUC